GUCGAACGGUGAAGAGGAGCUUGCUCCUUGGAUCAGUGGCGAACGGGUGAGUAACACGUGAGCAAUCUGCCCUUGACUCUGGGAUAACUGCGGGAAACUGUAGCUAAUACCGGAUAUUACCUUGGAAGGCAUCUUCUGGGGUGGAAAGAAUUUUGGUCAAGGAUGAGCUCGCGGCCUAUCAGCUAGUUGGUGAGGUAAUGGCUCACCAAGGCGACGACGGGUAGCCGGCCUGAGAGGGUGACCGGCCACACUGGGACUGAGACACGGCCCAGACUCCUACGGGAGGCAGCAGUGGGGAAUAUUGCACAAUGGGCGCAAGCCUGAUGCAGCAACGCCGCGUGAGGGACGAAGGCCUUCGGGUUGUAAACCUCUUUUAGUAGGGAAGAAGCGACUGGGUUUUCCUGGGAGUGACGGUACCUGCAGAAAAAGCACCGGCUAACUACGUGCCAGCAGCCGCGGUAAUACGUAGGGUGCAAGCGUUGUCCGGAAUUAUUGGGCGUAAAGAGCUCGUAGGCGGUUUGUCGCGUCUGCUGUGAAAACCCGAGGCUCAACCUCGGGCCUGCAGUGGGUACGGGCAGACUAGAGUGCGGUAGGGGAGAUUGGAAUUCCUGGUGUAGCGGUGGAAUGCGCAGAUAUCAGGAGGAACACCAAUGGCGAAGGCAGAUCUCUGGGCCGUAACUGACGCUGAGGAGCGAAAGCAUGGGGAGCGAACAGG
rnacentral:rRNA from 1 species